UCCCUGGUGGUCCAGUGGUUAAGACUCUGUGCUUCCACUGUAGCAGGUGUGGGUUCAAUCUCUGCUCAGGGAA
rnacentral:tRNA from 1 species